rnacentral:lncRNA from 1 species
CACCAAAAUGUACUAACAGUGUUUCUUGGCUUUGUGUAGGUGUGCUGGGCAGUGGUCAGUGAUUCUGGAUACAAAGUCCAAUCCCCAGUGACAGCUGACAGGAAACUCAGUCCCAGGCUUUGCCAGCUGGGCUGUCUUGCUGAGGCC